UGUGCCAUUACUUGCAAAGACAAAUGGCCUGUCCACCUUUUGGGGUGUAAUUUAAAAGCCAUUUGUCUAGUGGUAAUAACUGGAAAUGGACUUCCACUGUAGGAUCCUACGACUUCCUGUAUGAGCAGCGCUGAUGGCGUGUGGCCACCUCAGGACUGGUUGGCCAGGCUGUUUCAGAACCUUAUUGUUUUCACGGGAGGAAGUGCUGAGCACCGGAAGUGCGGAGCAGCUGGAAGCUUACGGUGGAGCUGAGGGAAGCCAGACAGCGGACUCUCAUUUCACGCCCUUUAGCAGCAGGAAUAAGAAGGCAACUGGAGAGCUGCAGUUUUAA
rnacentral:lncRNA from 1 species